AUUGAACGCUGGCGGCAUGCCUUACACAUGCAAGUCGAACGGUAACGGGCCUUCGGGUGCCGACGAGUGGCGAACGGGUGAGUAAUGUAUCGGAACGUACCUUUCAGUGGGGGAUAACGUAGCGAAAGUUACGCUAAUACCGCAUAUUCUGUGAGCAGGAAAGCAGGGGAUCGCAAGACCUUGCGCUGAUUGAGCGGCCGAUAUCAGAUUAGCUAGUUGGUGAGGUAAAGGCUCACCAAGGCGACGAUCUGUAGCGGGUCUGAGAGGAUGAUCCGCCACACUGGAACUGAGACACGGUCCAGACUCCUACGGGAGGCAGCAGUGGGGAAUUUUGGACAAUGGGGGCAACCCUGAUCCAGCCAUGCCGCGUGAGUGAAGAAGGCCUUCGGGUUGUAAAGCUCUUUCGGCCGGGAAGAAAUCGUAUGGGUUAAUACCCUGUGCGGAUGACGGUACCGGCAUAAGAAGCACCGGCUAACUACGUGCCAGCCGCCGCAGUAA
rnacentral:rRNA from 1 species